rnacentral:misc_RNA from 1 species
GAUGAAGAACGUAGCGAAAUGCGAUAAGUAAUGUGAAUUGCAGAAUUCAGUGAAUCAUCGAAUCUUUGAACGCACAUUGCGCCCUCUGGUAUUCAGGGGGGCAUGCCUGUUCGAGCGUCAUUAUAACCACUCAAGCUCUCGCUUGGUAUUGGGGUUCGCGGUUUCGCGGCCCCUAAAAUCAGUGGCGGUGCCUGUCGGCUCUACGCGUAGUAAUACUCCUCGCGAUUGAGUCCGGUAGGUCUACUUGCCAGCAACCCCUAAUUUUUUUAAGGUUGACCUCGGAUCAGGUAGGGAUACCCGCUGAACUUAAGCAUAUCAAUAAGCGGAGGA